rnacentral:rRNA from 1 species
UACGGGGGGAGCAAGCGUUGUUCGGAUUUACUGGGCGUAAAGGGCGCGUAGGCGGCGCAACAAGUCACUUGUGAAAUCUCCGGGCUUAACCCGGAGCGGCCAAGUGAUACUGUCGUGCUAGAGUGCGGAAGGGGCUACUGGAAUUCUCGGUGUAGCGGUGAAAUGCGUAGAUAUCGAGAGGAACACCUGCGGCGAAGGCGGCCUGCUGGGCAGUUUGCUGACACUGAGGCGCGACAGCGUGGGGAGCAAACAGG